GAGUUUUGAUCCUGGCUCAGGACGAACGCUGGCGGCGCGCCUAACACAUGCAAGUCGAACGAGCGAGAGAGAGCUUGCUUUCUCGAGCGAGUGGCGAACGGGUGAGUAACGCGUGAGGAACCUGCCUCAAAGAGGGGGGACAACAGUUGGAAACGGACUGCUAAUACCGCAUAAGCCCACGACCCGGCAUCGGGUUGAGGGGAAAAGGAGCAAUCCGCUUUGAGAUGGCCUCGCGUCCGAUUAGCUAGUUGGU
rnacentral:rRNA from 1 species